rnacentral:rRNA from 1 species
GACGAACGCUGGCGGCGUGCCUAACACAUGCAAGUCGAGCGGGGAAGAUUGGAAGCUUGCUUUUGAUCUUUCUAGCGGCGGACGGGUGAGUAACGCGUGAGCAAUCUGUCUCAAACAGGGGGAUAACGCAGCGAAAGUUGCACUAAUACCGCAUAAGACCACAGUGCCGCAUGGCACAGGGGUCAAAGGAGUAAUCCGGUUUGAGGUGAGCUCGCGUCCCAUUAGGUAGUUGGUGAGGUAACGGCCCACCAAGCCUACGAUGGGUAGCCGACCUGAGAGGGUGAUCGGCCACACUGGAACUGAGACACGGUCCAGACUCCUACGGGAGGCAGCAGUGGGGAAUAUUGGGCAAUGGGCGAAAGCCUGACCCAGCAACGCCGCGUGAGGGAAGAAGGUUCUCGGAUUGUAAACCUCUGUCCUAAGGGACGAAGAAGUGACGGUACCAUAGGAGGAAGCCCCGGCUAACUACGUG